rnacentral:rRNA from 1 species
CAGCCGCCACGGUAACACCAGCAGCCCAAGUGGUGGUCGCGUUUAUUGGGCCUAAAGCGCUCGUAGCCUGGCCGGUAAGUUCCCCGUGAAAUCGGGUCGCCCAACGAUUCGGCUUGCGGGGAAUACUGUCGGUCUUGGGGCCGGGAGACGCCGAGGGUACUCCGGGGGUAGCGGUGAAAUGCUGUAAUCCUCGGGGGACUACCAGUGGCGAAGGCGCUCGGCGAUAACGGGCCUGACGGUGAGGGGCGAAAGCUGGGGGCGCGAACGGGAUUAGAUACCCCAGUAGUCCCUGUCUCUUAUU